AUGCUUUGUAUGUUCCAUUUUGGGGUGCACAGAAGAAAUUCCAAGUAUCUUAUGUUUCUGAAAGUGGAAAUCUCUCUGCUUCCUGCCUUCCAUCUUAUGGUGUCAGUUUGGGUGUGUUACAGAAGCUUAGCAAAGCAUUUAUGUAAGGCCCUCUUAGUGAGGGAUGCUCUCUGGAGUUUCAAAUAUUUUGUAAUUAAUUUUGUUCUUUUAUUCUGUCUUUUUCAGGAAAUAGGGAAUGCUUCCUCUUGUGAUUUGGGGUGCCCAUCAGAAAUAGUGGCACUGUUGACCUUAAAUCUCCCUUUUUUAGAAUCUGGAUACUUUUUUUAUCACAAUGGUCUUGCUAAAGCCAGGAGAAGACGCAGCCUUCAACACAAGCUUCAUCUGGAAAAGGACACCAGGCUCUUCACACUCCUAUUCCUUUUCUUGGGAGGAGGUACAGAUACACUGGAUGUGUCCGAAUCAAGAACCUGAAAAAUAAAAUAAGCCACGGCGGUGAGGAGGUGCCCUGU
rnacentral:lncRNA from 1 species